rnacentral:rRNA from 1 species
UACGGGGGGGGCAAGCGUUGUUCGGAAUUACUGGGCGUAAAGGGCUCGUAGGUGGCCAACUAAGUCAGACGUGAAAUCCUUCGGCUUAACCGGGGAACUGCGUCUGAUACUGGAUGGCUUGAGUUUGGGAGAGGGAUGCGGAAUUCCAGGUGUAGCGGUGAAAUGCGUAGAGAUCAUGAGGAAGACCAGUGGCGAAGGCGGGUCUCUGGACAGUUCCUGACACUGAGGCACGAAGGCCAGGGGAGCAAACGGG